GAUGGUCUAGCUCAGUGGUAGAGCACAUGAUUAGCAUGCAUGAGGUCCUGGGUUCAAUCCUCAGUACCUCCU
rnacentral:tRNA from 1 species